rnacentral:rRNA from 1 species
CAGUCUCCUACGGGUGGCAGCAGUGAGGAAUCUUUCGCAAUGGGCGAAAGCCUGACGGAGCGACGCCGCGUGGGGGAUGAAGUCCCUCGGGACGUAAACCCCUUUUCUGGGGGAAGAGGAAGGACGGUACCCCAGGAAUAAGCCUCGGCUAACUACGUGCCAGCAGCCGCGGUAAAACGUAGGAGGCAAGCGUUAUCCAGAUUUACUGGGCGUAAAGCGCGCGCAGGCGGUUCCGUAAGUUGGACGUGAAAUCUUCCGGCUCAACCGGGAGGGGUCGUCCAAGACUGCGGGACUUGAGGUCGGGAGAGGGAAGUGGAAUUCCCGGUGUAGUGGUGGAAUGCGUAGAUAUCGGGAGGAACACCAGUGGCGAAGGCGGCUUCCUGGCCCGUACCUGACGCUGAGGCGCGAAAGCGUGGGGAGCGAACGGGAUUAGAUACCCUAGUAGUCC